UACAGGGGGUGCAAACGUUGCUCGGAAUCAUUGGGCGUAAAGCGCACGUAGGCGGUUUGUUAUGUCGGAUGUGAAAGCCCUUGGCUCAACUAAGGAAGUGCAUCCGAAACUGGCAAGCUGGAGUACUAAAGAGGGUCGCGGAAUUCCCGGUGUAGAGGUGAAAUUCGUAGAUAUCGGGAGGAACACCGGUGGCGAAGGCGGCGACCUGGGUAGAUACUGACGCUGAGGUGCGAAAGCGUGGGGAGCAAACAGGG
rnacentral:rRNA from 1 species